AUAAAAUGUAUAGUUUCGGCAUGUACUGUAGCGCUCUAUAUAGGCGACGGUGAGCACGGGCAGAGUUUCACACAGAACUCAUGUUUCUCUGUUAGCCACAGUGACUGAGCAGCGCAGAGUUCUGGAACAUUCCUGGAGAGACUCAAAGAAGAACAUACACAGUGGGAGUUUGGACCCGGCCCAAGAUAAAUAAAUCCAGGUUUACAUUUUAUGAGUAAGAUGGUUAUCAUCAGCUCCAUGUAAAACACCUUUCAUAUUUCGUUGCGAUUGUCACUGUAUAAGGAACCACUAUGAUCAGGUUUUCUGUUCUAGUCUGCCUAUCAGUGCUGCUGUUUAGCACUUCAGCCAAGCCAUACAGGCCCAGGGAAAAAGUGUUGGGCAGUGCAGUUCAGGACACUAUAGUUUUUGAUCAUCCCAAUGAGAAGAUGAUCCUGGGAAUGAAGGAGGUGGAGCCACCACAGGACAUGGACAUUACAGAUUUUGACAUCAAUCCCAACAUGUUGAUUUGGAAAGCCGUAAAAGAAGAAAUACAGCAGAAAUACGACAGACCUGAAGAGGAUAAAGAUGCUCUCUACCACUCCUUUGACAUAAAACAUCCAGCUGAUGCAAAACAGCCUGAAAACUACUUUCAGCUACUGGAACACAAUCCGGUACGGAUGUCUGACAAACCAGAAGAAGAUCGAGAUGAUCUAUACCAUGGCAUGUUUGAUGUAGCUGAAGAGCCAAUGAGAGGAGAGAAGGAUGUAAUUGGAGGUAAUGUCAAGCCCAUGUACUCAAGCCCUGAAGUGGACAAAGACGACCUGUACCACGCAGAUGUUAAAGGACAUCAGUCUGACCAGCAGGCUCUUCCGAUGAAUAUAUUCCCCUUUCGCCCCAAAAGGGUGCACACAGAGCCAGAG
rnacentral:lncRNA from 1 species